GACGAACGCUGGCGGCGUGCCUAACACAUGCAAGUCGAGCGGAGAUUGCAGUAAUGUAAUCUUAGCGGCGGACGGGUGAGUAACGCGUGGGCAACCUACCUUUAUCUGGGGGAUAACACAGGGAAACUUGUGCUAAUACCGCAUAAAAUCAUAAGAAGACAUCUUCUAAUGAUCAAAGGAGUAAUCCGGAUAGAGAUGGGCCCGCGUCCGAUUAGCUAGUUGGUGGUGUAACGGACCACCAAGGCGACGAUCGGUAGCCGAACUGAGAGGUUGAUCGGCCACAUUGGGACUGAGACACGGCCCAGACUCCUACGGGAGGCAGCAGUGGGGAAUAUUGCGCAAUGGGGGAAACCCUGACGCAGCAACGCCGCGUGAAGGAUGAAGGUUUUCGGAUCGUAAACUUCUUUGAUGAGGGACGAAUAAAUGACGGUACCUCAAAAACAAGCCACGGCUAACUACGUGCCAGCAGCCGCCGCUG
rnacentral:rRNA from 1 species